CCCUUUCCGCAUAUCUGUCUUCGAUUCCGAAUAGUGAUCAGGAUGAUUUGAAAGAAGCUCUAUCUGACCUUGAAAAAAAACUGUGCAAACAUUUUAGAAGAUUAGAAAUAAGAGGGAAAAGGGGCAGAAAGGUACCAGUCCUACUGACUCCAGAAAUGCAGCAGUCAUUGGAUAUGCUUGUCAGCAAACGACAGGAAUGUGGUGUACCUACAGAAAACAUCUACUUAUUUGCAAGACCAUUCGCAAUGAGUUGCUAUCGUGGCUCUGAUUGCCUUCGGCAUUUUGCUAGCACCUGUGGAGCCAAAAGACCAGACACAUUGACAUCAACAAAGCUGCGCAAGCAAACAGCAACUCUGUCUCAGAUUUUGAACCUGAGCAAUACAGAGUUGGAUCAGCUAGCAAAUUUCCUUGGUCACGAUAUAAGAGUUCAUCGCCAGUUUUACAGGCUUCCAGAAGGCACCCUUCAGCUUGCUAAAAUCAGUAAAGUACUCAUGGCACUGGAGCAGGGACGUCUUGUUGACUUUAAAGGAAAAAAGCCUGGAUGACAUAACCAUUGACCCUGAAGAGAAUGUGAAGUUGGACAGUGAGGAAGAGGCAGAGUUUGAGUCAGAUCCUAAGGAGGAUCAAGUCACAUCCAUCGGGGAACAUAGAACAGAAAUGGAGGACAGAAAUGCCGAAAUACAGGACAAUAGGACACCUUCACAAACCAGCAAAAGUAGUUCACCUAAAAAGGGUAAAAGUAAGUAUUCCACUCAUUUGUCCCUCUACUCCCUGCCCCUCUCCAUCUUAUAGAAUUCCUCUAGGUUUUUGUUUGAAUUCUAUUUUUUAUGCAUAUCAAAGCUGUUUAGUGAAUUUUCUCAAUGUUUUUCAAAUGCAUUUUAUAUUAAAUG